rnacentral:rRNA from 1 species
AUUAACGCGAAGAACCUUACCAGGGUUUGACAUGCAUCUGCACCGUCCAGAAAUGGACGUACCCGCACGUGACGGCUGCACAGGUGCUGCAUGGCUGUCGUCAGCUCGUGCCGUGAGAUGUUGGGUUAAGUCCCGCAACGAGCGCAACCCUUGUCUCAUGUUGCCAGCACGUUAUGGUGGGGACUCGUGAGAGACUGCCGGGGUCAACUCGGAGGAAGGUGGGGAUGACGUCAAGUCAUCAUGCCCCUUAUGUCCAGGGCUUCACACAUGCUACAAUGGCCGGUACAAAGGGCUGCGAUGCCGUAAGGAU